rnacentral:lncRNA from 1 species
AAUAAAUGCGGAAAAUAAAAAGCACACCGAGAUUUACGUGGAAAAACUCCAACUUGGAGUAAAAAACCCACGGAACCAACACGCGAAAAAAUAAUUCACUAAGAGAAAAGAUUACAAGGUAAUUACCGACUCCACGGACUCAACCUCUCUUAACCUCCUAUGAAUCUUCGCGCUAUCCUCCGGGUUGUCCACGCCCUCACGUUCGAAUCCACGAACGCCUCCACUUCGAAUCCACGAAGCUUCAAUCACGCCGAAUCCACGACGCCACUCGAAUCCACGAGCCAAUGCUCCGAAUCCACGAACCGCCUUUGUUCACGCCGAAUCCACGACGCCGUUCAUGAAGAGCAUCAUGAUUAUGGUGAUCCUUCGCUUAGGAGUAUCGUAGAAAACCAGGGAAUAGAACUCCAAGCGAAGCGGAGAUCAAAUCGACAUAUAGAGAAUGCGAAACGAUAUCUCGAUUUGAUCUAAAGAGGCUAAUUUGUAGAAAAGAGGUUUAGAAUGAAAUCCGAGCCUCUAGGGUUUCUCAAACAUGUAUUCUUAUGAUACUUGAUAUGUUAGAGAAGCCCAAUAGCUUAUUUAUAGACUUUAGAAUCAAUUGGAGUCGGAUUAGAAAGAUUUCACGAUUUUACACUGUAUACCGGUACACUUAGGCUGUCACCGGUUACACGAUGAUGGAACGAAAAACCUGACGAAACAGUGAAACCAGUUACAUCCUUGAUGGCCGUACCAGUACACAUUUUGUACCGGUACACUUCUGAUGCUGUACAGGUACACUUUGCAAAUUUCCGCCGUUUCGGGUUUUGCAAAGUUCCGAUGCACUUUUUAAUCCGUUAGACAUUGAUAUUAUGAUUCUAAUGUCUACAACUAAGUAUGAAUCACCACAAUCACGAAUUAACACUUUACCUGGACAUCGUGAUUCACAGUGUGAGUUAUUUUCCAACUUCUUCGAAAUCUUGAAUUUUUCGAUCUUCGACAAUACGGACCGAUUCUUCAAGACUCCGACUCAUUUCACGAAACUUGCCAACACAUAAGACUUAACAAUCUCCCCCUUUGGCAAUUUCGUGACAAAACUCACACAAACUCAAAAAUUAUAAUUUAAAGAAAAACGAAGUUCAAUUGUCAUCACCAAAACAUUGAACUCCUCGCGUGGUAAUCCAAAUACAAUUUGAAACUUAAACUUACAUCAAAACUUCUAAAACAGACUCUAUGACUUAGACGCAAUAAGGAGUUUGAAGUCUUGAUUUCCUGCAAAACAAUUUGUCCAAAAAGAUAUAGAAAGUUAAAUUCUGGACAUUCUUACAAUUUACGCUUCUUCUCCCCUUUUGUUCUUUAUUCUUUCUUCUUCUCGAAAUAUCACUCCUUGUCUCCCUUUGUUCACCUUUGCUUUAGAUCAAUACCUGUUCAUCAUUGUUCUCCCCCUUUUUGUCAAAAAUUGCCAAAGAUAAACAUAUAAAGAGAGAAAACAUACUAAAAGCAUAAGAGUAGUCAAAUUAUAGUUACAGGCCUAAAACAAAAGUAAAAACAUGCAAAAGAAAGAUAAGCAAGCAAAUCUAAAACAUCGUCCUAGAAAGUAAUCAUAAUAAAGUAACAAGACGAAGCUCAAGGAAGACAUCACUCCGUGUCCUCGUCGUCAUCAUCAUCAUCUCUUGCGCCAGCUCCAGAUCCCCCAGCCUCAGGAGUAUCACUAGACGGUAGAAUGAGAGGAUGUCGUGAAGUCGAUCUAGUAUACGUGGAGUAAGUAGGCUGAGUAAGGAAAAUGUCAUUAUGCCUACAGCCCAUUUUCUCCAUCAUUCUCUUCAUUCCCAUCUCCACCUUUCUCGCAAGAUCAGCCAAUUUCUUCUUCAUAGAGCGUACCUCAUGGUGAAGGGAUUCGACAGUAAUCACUCCCCUUGAGCUAGAAGAUCCCUCACGCGCUGCUCGAGGUGGAGGUGCUGAACUAGAAGCUCCUCUGGAUGAUCCUUUGGUUUGUUGAAAAGUCUUCAAUGUGCUCCUUGACUUUGCCCAAAUUACAGCGUCAAUAGGUCCAAGUCCAAAGUCAUAUUUCUCACAUGACACGUCAACUCCGUGUUCUUGAAGAAUCCUCGUGAUCAACAAUGGAAACGGAAGUAGAUCACGUCGAACCUGAGACUGUAUGACAUGAACCAUUCGUUGCCACAUAAGAAAUGGAAUAUUGAUGUUCAAUCCGCCUGCUUCCUCAGGAUGUCCAAGAAGAUACAGAAGCACAAGACGAUCCCAACGAAUUCUUUUCGUUCCAAUUGUGGGUUGAACAUUGUAGCUCAUUACCAAUUAGAGCAGCUGAUAUUCAGGUAGCAAAUCCUUAGAUUCCACAUAUGAAUGAUUAGUCCUAACACCUUCCUUGCAUAUAGCUUGAAUAACAGUCUCCCAGUGGGUUGAAGACUGAAAAAGCCCUGUCGUAUAGUGAAGGCCGGUAGUAUCAACAUGCAUACCUAAGAGCUCUCCAACAGUAUAAGGAGUGAUGUGAAUCUUCUGUUUACGCUUAUAAGACUCAAACACAUAAGUCCCAGUCUCCUCAUCCUCUCCAAGUACUACCCCGUUUAUAUAGAACUCUCGAAUUAGUUCCACACAAAAUGGGGCACGAGCUGGAACCCGUCCAACAGGCUCAAUAGGGACCCUCUGCAGCAAUCGGCCAAAAUCUGGUACCUCCUUGACCAGCUCAGUGAAGUUGACAUAGCGCUUAGCUAGAACUGAUCGGCUCGAAUAAAUCUGCUGUCGCUCUAAUGAAGCCUCUGCAACACGUUUGGAGCGCCUUUCACAUGCACGAGAAUCACCUCCUCGUGAGGAUUCACCUGCUAGGCCUUUUCCUUUAGCAGCCCUCGUAACCACUUCUUCAGUAGCUUCAGGUGAGCUUGCUUGAUAAUCUGGAUCUGAUCCUGAUGACUCGUCGGCAGUACGAGUUCUCUUUGAUUGUCCACGUCGUCCUCGACCACCACCACGGCCACGACCAGCGGCCAUAAGUACCAAAAGUAAGAUCACGAGCGAAAAUGCCAUUUUCCUACAUGAAAAUAAGCCAUUCAUGAAGAAAAUUUUGAAAAAUCUGUAAAAAUAGUAGAAAAAUUUCUAAUAACAUUAGAAUGCAUACAAAUGCUAUUUCUAACAAGAUCAUGCAAAAAUUUUCAUCAAAAAAUGACAUUUUACAAAAAAUCCCAAAAUUACAUGAAAAAAGAAGCUUAGAACAUGGAUUAGCGAAAAAUAAUGUGUUUUGAUGUGUUUCAAGUGUUUUAGAAGCAAGAUAAUGUCCUUAAGCAGUGAUCUACAGUAAAAAAUUGCAUAAAAAACAAUCAAAAACAGAGAUCUAAGUAAGAACUCGAAAUUUUUUUAAAAAAAUAUGUAAAAACGAGGUUUGAUCCAUAAAUCCGAGCAAACAACUUACAAAUCCACGUGAAAAGCAGUAAAUCUGAAGAAGAUUGUCGCCUAGGAGCUUCAGGAGAAGAAAGAUGCGGUUUUGAUUAAGAUUUGGGAGAGAAUCGAAACAUGUAUCCGGUUAUAUAACCCGCGGCUACAGUAAUUUGUACCGGUACGGGAUUUUGUACCGGUACACUUUUUCAGAUUUUGAAAAUUUGAAUUUAAAAACCUUUUAAACUUAAAUUAAUUUCAUAUAAAUUAAGGACUUUACUCCAAAAAUAUGUAUGAUGAAGAUAAAAUAUUAUAAGAUUUCAAAAUACAUCGAAACAUCAAAAUUUUAUUAUCGAAAAUAAUCUAAUGAUUAAGAACCAUCAAGAUGUAAGCUGAUGAAAAAUAAUUUUUAGAAAUUCAACAAAAUUGACACCAAUUUAUCGCAAUAUGUUCAAAAUAGAGAUUUAACUAAUAUGGCACCGGGGGUGGCUCUUUGAGCAUCUUUUCAACUUACCACCUUAUAACUCCGAAAAUUCUAAAAUAUUCAAUCAAUUUUUCUUUCAACCUUUUUCGGUUAAUCAAUUCAAUCUUCAUGUGGUAGCUUCACACACUUGCCGGACGACCGGGGUGGUAGCUCUUUCCUACAUGUGGUGGCAGUUUUCACACUCCUUUAGAAUGUAACUCUUUUCACAUCUUUUUAAACAUAGGAGUUUCUUUUUUCCUUUUUUUAUUUUCAAACUCCCCCUAAAUUAGACAAUCUCACAAUUGAAAAUAAUUUUGACGAAUUUUAGUCAAUUAGAGAAUAUCCAUCCAUCAUAUCCAACACACACAACUAAGAUGAAUUAAUCACCAAGAGAUCAAAUUUGAUUUCAAAAUUUUGAUGAAUAUAUGCAUUAAGAGAUCAUAUAUCAAAUUAUCGUCAAAAUAAUAAAAAGUGGAGUAAAAACGAUAAUUAAUAUGAAUUUAACUUAAUAUGAUUGUGAAGAUAAAACCCGUUUAAACAAUCUUUAAAAAAAUUCUCUCCUAAAAAAAAAUUGAUUCUCAAUUAUCUCCUCUCUCAAAGAUUUUGAAAUUCCCAAAUACCUUUCCUCAAAAAAUGAUUUUUAACCAAAUAAAAACCAAAGCACCAAAAAUCGUCUAAACAUGUAAUGCAAUGACUAAAAAUAUACAAUAAGCACCUAUCAAAGCAUUACAUAAAGAAUCAAAACAAACUAAGAUGAAGAACAAGGAAAGAUAUCACCUUUCCGAAUCCAAACUUGUUGGAUUUUGUGUUGUCUCGGCUUGUAGACGUUCGGCAUGGCUUGUUUUGACUUUGGAUCAACCGUUGAUCGCUUCGUUGAUGGUGGCGUUGGUCGGGCUUGACGUUGUGCGUUGGAGCUCCGAUUCCCUCGAGGUACUCGACUUAAUUGUUUUUCCUUGAAAUCCUGUGGGGAAAAUCCGAGUAGUAGAGGGUGCCACUUGACGAUUAGAAGUUGCCGAUUGAUUCUUCUUUUCUUUGUUUGGGCAAUUUCUUUUGAUGUGUCCUUUGAUGCCACAUCGAUGACACACUUUGCCUUUUAAAGUUGUUGAGACUUUAGAUGUCGCCGUUUGAUCCUUCUCAACAUAUGUCCGUUCAUAUCCAAGGCCCAAUUUGCUCGUUUGACCCAAUCCAAGCAUUUUGUCCAACUUCUUUGAUCCCGAAGAAAAUUGUUGAAGAUCGGAUUGGAGUUAACGAACUUGAUCGGUCAAUAAUCUGUUGGAUGUAUGCGAUUCCUCAUAUUGAUGCUCCAAAAAUCCAACUUUAUCUUUAUAAGAGUUAAUCGUUGAUUCUGCUUCAUCAAGCUUCUCUUGGAGGAUAGAAUUAUUUUUCAAAUUUGUUUCCCUUUCCUCCUCAAGAACUUUGUUCGUGGUCUUCAAGUUGUGGUUAUCUUCUUCGAAUUUCAAUAAACGACGCCUCAACUUCUUAUUUAAUUUAGCCAUCUUCUUUGACUCGAUAAGAAGUUGGUUGUAGGCUUCCGCUAUAUCAUCGUCAUUUGAUUCCUCCUCGCUUUCGCCGUUGUCGUUCGAUGAGUCACGCGAGGAAAAAGAAACAUUCGAAUUAGUUGCAAAAGAGGAUAAACAAACAACGUUCGACGAAGGAGUAUUAGCAAAUAAAGCAAUUUGAUCAUUCUUUUCUUCGUCACUUGACGAUGAUUCACUAGAAGAAUCAUCCCAAGUCUUUGCUUGCAUAGCCUUCGAUUUAUAAACUUUCUUUGAAGGACAAUCUGUCGCGAUGUGGCCGUAGCCUUUGCACUUGAAGCAUUGGAUCUCACCUUCAAAUACAUCUUUUUCUUUUGAAGCCUUUGCACGCUUCUUCUCCUUGGAUGUAGACUUAGGAAACGUUUGUUGCUUCGAAGAUGAAGGUUUAUUCGAUUUGCUCUUUCGGAAAUUCCAGCGAAACUUUUUCGUGAGAAGCGCAAGUUGAUGUUCAAAGUCGGCAAUUGAGAUCUCUCCAUCGGAAUUUGAGUCUCCGUCUUCCUCUUUCGUCGAUUUCAACGCAACCCCUGUGCUUUUAGAAGAAGACUUGACAAAAGAUUGAUUAGUAGGAAAAGUCAUCUCAUAAGUUUGCAAAGCACCUACUAAUUCUUCGACUUUCAUCUCGUCCGGAUGCUUAACCGUUUCGAUCGCGGCAACCUUUGCCUGAAAGCGUUCCGGAAGAGUUCGAAGAAUCUUUCUAAUAACCUUUGAAUCCGGAAUUUUCUCUCCCAAGUUAGCACAUGUAUUCACAACGUCUUGUAGACGUGUAUAGUACUCGGUAAAGGUCUCGUUUUCAUCCAUAGAAAUAGAAUCAAACUUGCUUGUUAGCAUUUGCAAUUUUUUAACCUUUACUAAGCUCGUUCCUUCAUGUGUAACUUGUAGAGUAUCCCAAAUUUUCUUUGCCGUUUCGCACCGAAACACGAGUAAACUCCGUUUGAGACAAUGCAUUAAAUAAAGCGUUUAUGCCCUUGCCGUUAAACGAAGAUGUCUCGUUUUCUUCUUUCGUCCAUUUGUUCCGUGGUUUUAGCUUUUCAACAUUAUCGACCUUUUCUAUCGGAUGUUUCCACCCAAAUUCAAUUGAUUGCCAAACCCGCUCAUCGAUAGCAAUUAGAAAAGCUCUCAUGCGAACUUUCCAAUAGGCAUAAUUCGUGUCGUCGAAGAGCGGAGGUCGAUUAAUGUUACCAACUUCGGCCAUUAGAUAACAAUUUAUCUAGAUCCCGCUCUAAUACCAAUUGAAAGUUUUGAGGAGCCCAAGGAUCUAUCUAGAUUGUAUCUAUCACCUAGAGGGGGGUGAAUAGGUGAACGACCAAAAACCACAAAUCUCGAUACAAUAAAAAUAAAUACGAAAAAUAAAAAGCACACCGAGAUUUACGUGGGAAAACUCCAACUUGGAGAAAAACCCACGAGGACCAACACGCGAAAAAAUAAUUCACUAAGAGAAAAGAUUACAAGGUGAUUACCGACUCCACAGACUCAACCUCUCUUAACCUCCUAUGAAUCUUCGCGCUACCCUCCGGGUUGUCUACGCCCUCACGUUCGAAUCCACGAACGCCUCCACUUCGAAUCCACAAAGCUUCAAUCAGGCCGAAUCCACGACGCCACUCGAAUCCACGAGCCAACGCUCCGAAUCCACGAACCGCCUUUGUUCACGCCGAAUCCACGACGCCGUUCAUGAAGAGGAUCAUGAUUAU